CCUACGGGUGGCUGCAGUGGGGAAUUUUUCGCAAUGGGGGAAACCCUGACGAAGCAACGCCGCGUGGGGGAUGAAGGUCUUCGGAUUGUAAACCCCUGUCGACCGGGACGAACACGCCCGACCUAACACGUCGGAGCGUUGACUGUACCGGUGGAGGAAGCCACGGCUAACUCUGUGCCAGCAGCCGCGGUAAUACAGAGGUGGCAAGCGUUGUUCGGAAUUACUGGGGGCAAAGGGCGCGGUGCCGCGUGAAAUCCCUCGGCUCAACCGAGGAACUGCGCGGGAAACUGUCGAGCUUGAGUUCGGGAGAGGGAAGCGGAAUUCCGGGUGUAGCGGUGAAAUGCGCAGAUAUCCGGAGGAACACCGGUGGCGAAGGCGGCUUCCUGGACCGACACUGACGCUGAGGCGCGAAAGCUAGGGGAGCAAACGGGAUUAGAUACCCCUGUAGUC
rnacentral:rRNA from 1 species